UUCGAUCGUCAGCAUCAAUUUUUAUCUUUGCCGUUUUCAUGAACGGUCUACCUAAAAUAAUGGGAGCUCUGCUUGUCUUAGUCUCUCCUUCCAUGUUCAGAAUGUAAAAAUCUGCAGGAAAAAUUAAAUCGUUAACUUGGACAAGGACAUCUUCCACUACGCCAGUCGGGCGUGCAUUGCUCCUGUUCGCCAGUUGGACGAUCAAACCUGUAUGCUGCAAAUGACCAAGAUUAAGGUUAUUAUAAAUAGAAGUAGG
rnacentral:lncRNA from 1 species